GCAGGAGAGCUGGGCGGUGGCAGGGCUGAAUCUCUCCAGGGAGAAGGCACAGUGCAGGGGCUGCUGGUUGCUGCACCACACUUGAGGGAAGGAGAACUCCUGAGGAGGCAGAAGGAAGGGAGAGCGAGCAUCAGGGAACUGAGGGACAUCUUGGAUGGACACCUGGAGGCUGAAGGUGUUCGCUCGGAAAGGCAACAUCUUUGGCUCCUCGAGGAGCUGACCCCCCCUGGUCUUCUCUGCGGCCACCACCCCCUGGAGAGGAGAGAAGCCUCUGUGGAUGGUGGUUCGAUCUGAUGGAGGUUGUCCCUGCAGUGGUCCUGCCGUACACCUCUUCUGCUACUUGCAAUUACUUGUAUCAUUUCAGUUAGAGAAAUUGAAUGUAUUGUACAUCUUUUACAUUGUUGAUUCUGUACACAUGACAUCCAUUGCAGUCUGUCCAUCCCGGGAGAGGGAUCCCUCCUCUGACGUUCUCCCUAAGGUUUCUUCCCUUUUUUCCCCAUUGAAGGGUUUUUUCAUAUUUUGGGGAGUUUUUCCUGUGCCGAUGUGAGGGUUUCGGGACAGAGGAUGUUGCAUGUGUACAGACUGUAAAGCCCUCUGAGGCAA